rnacentral:rRNA from 1 species
AGUGAACGCUGGCGGUAGGCCUAACACAUGCAAGUCGAACGGCAGCACAGUAAGAGCUUGCUCUUACGGGUGGCGAGUGGCGGACGGGUGAGGAAUACAUCGGAAUCUACUUUUUCGUGGGGGAUAACGUAGGGAAACUUACGCUAAUACCGCAUACGACCUACGGGUGAAAGCAGGGGAUCUUCGGACCUUGCGCGAUUGAAUGAGCCGAUGUCGGAUUAGCUAGUUGGCGGGGUAAAGGCCCACCAAGGCGACGAUCCGUAGCUGGUCUGAGAGGAUGGUCAGCCACACUGGAACUGAGCCACGGUCCAGACUCCUACGGGAGGCAGCAGUGGGGAAUAUUGGACAAUAGGCGCAAGCCUGAUCCAGCCAUACCGCGUGGGUGAAGAAGGCCUUCGGGUUGUAAAGCCCUUUUGUUGGGAAAGAAAAGCAGCAGGUUAAUACCCCGCUGUUCUGACGGUACCCAAAGAAUAAGCACCGGCUAACUUCGUG